GAGGGUAUAGCUCAGUGGUAGAGUGCAUAAUUGGUGUGUACAUGGUCCUGUGUUCAAUCCCCAGUACCUCCA
rnacentral:tRNA from 1 species